UGGGGAGUGGUGUAAUAGGCAACACAGCAGAUUCUGGUUCUGUUAUUAGGGGUUCGAUUCCUCUCUCCCCAG
rnacentral:tRNA from 2 species